GAGAAUAAAAAGGCACCAAAAAAGAACUAAACACAGGUCUUUGGAUGAGCAAGCAAAAACCCCUUCCAUCCUCCUAAUGACAUCACAGGAGAAGUUUCUCUUUGCUUACCUAGUAAAAGUAAGGCAUAAAUUCAAUUUAGCCUCUGAACUUAAUAGCCAUAUCAGUGUUGCCACAAUUAACUUUUGGGUCAAUUAGUGCACAAACUUUUAUUUUUUAACCAAAAUUAAUAAAAUGAAUUUUCGAACUAUUAAAUGACUAAAAUAUUUUUUUUAUUUUAAUAAUUAAAAUUAUUUUCAAAAAAUUAUCUUAGAAAAAAUUUUAAAGCAGAAAAAGCACGCACACGCGCGCGCGCGCGCGCGCAUGCACGCCUAUAUACACAUUAAAUAAUACCAUUUGAGAAUGCCACUUUAAGGGAGACCAACCCAGUCCAAUUGGUUGAAACAAUAAUUCGAAAGCCUUUUUUUGCCAUAAUAUUGAAACAUCUACAAUGAACAUAUUUGAAGGAGCAACCAACAAUUGAUAUCAUCAGAAAUUUAAAUUACCAUGACACAAGAGUUUUGGUCUCAGUUUACCAGGGAUGUGAAGUUGUGAACCUUGCCCUUAGCAUUCUAACAAAAUUUAUUACCAUAAGCAUUAAAAAUUUGUAAUGAGGGUCUGCUUAGCAGAUAUUAAUUGUCCACAUACAGUUGGACAGCUUUAGAGCAAACUGAGAAGACAUUUCUCUACCUCAUCAUCAUAGCAUAUAUUUGUUAUCAAGCCUUCUUCUUUCAGCCUUUCUACUUUGUAGACUCCUUCACUGAUGAAGUUCUCGAGUUGUUCUAUUUUUUUU
rnacentral:misc_RNA from 1 species